CUACAAUAAGCAAAUCCAUUUCAUUCUUCUCAACUCUUCUAUUCCAAUUCCCUCUCCAUCUUCUAAUCAUCACAUGAGACAACUCAAAACCAACACAAACAAAAACAUAAACAAUCGCAAACAAAAAACCAUGAUGCUAAGAAUCCGAAGCCGCGACGGUCUAGAACGAGUAAAACUCGAUAACCCAAACGGAACAACAAUUUCAGAACUCAAAC
rnacentral:lncRNA from 1 species